GAUAGGUUCUCUUGAGUUUUUGCGACCCUCACAUCCACCCAAAACAAACACUGACGAAGGUAGCGAGAUGAAAUUAAGUCCUUCACUGCACGUGGUGUCUUGAAGAUGAAAGACCAGAGAUGCCUAAGUCUUGGGGAGAUUGGAAGACCCUGGUGACAUAUUCUUCUCCACCAAAUGAGAGACUCACGGGUCGCUAGCAGGAAGAUUGAGAGUGAUGGAGCCUUGAACUGUACUGCCAUACUGGAGGUAACCAAAGAAACCAACGCUGGCGUACAAGCACACUACCAGCAUCAUAGCGGUGUUCAGCAC